rnacentral:rRNA from 1 species
UGAGGAAUAUUGGUCAAUGGGGCGAGAGCCUGAACCAGCCAAGUAGCGUGCAGGAUGACGGCCCUACGGGUUGUAAACUGCUUUUGCGGGAGAAUAAAGUCGGCCACGCGUGGCCAUUUGCAGGUAUCCCGUGAAUAAGGACCGGCUAAUUCCGUGCCAGCAGCCGCGGUAAUACGGAAGGUCCGGGCGUUAUCCGGAUUUAUUGGGUUUAAAGGGAGCGCAGGCGGAGGAUCAAGCCAGCCGUCAAAUAGCGGUGCUCAACACCGUCCAGCGGUUGGAACUGGUUCCCUUGAUUGCGGGAGAAGAAGGCGGAACUCGUGGUGUAGCGGUGAAAUGCAUAGAUAUCACGAAGAACUCCGAUUGCGAAGGCAGCCUUCCGGCCCGCCAAUGACGCUCAUGCUCGAAGGCGCGGGUAUCAAACAGGAUUAGAUACCCUGGUAGU